rnacentral:rRNA from 1 species
CAGUAGCCACGGGAAUACAGAGGGUGCGAGCGUUAAUCGGAUUUACUGUGCGUAAAGCGUGCGUAGGCGGCUUCUUAAGUCGGAUGUGAAAUCCCUGAGCUUAACUUAGGAAUUGCAUUCGAUACUGGGAAGCUAGAGUAUGGGAGAGGAUGGUAGAAUUCCAGGUGUAGCGGUGAAAUGCGUAGAGAUCUGGAGGAAUACCGAUGGCGAAGGCAGCCAUCUGGCCUAAUACUGACGCUGAGGUACGAAAGCAUGGGGAGCAAACAGGAUUAGAUACCCCGGUAGUCCCUGUCUCUUAUAA